UUCACGCAGGCAUGCUUGAGUUUCAAAAUGUGGAAGCUUCCGCAGUUUCUGUAUUUGAAAGGUUUUUUCGUCAUUUGGUACAUGUAACCAAUCACGUGCUGUAUUUAUGUGGAUAACAACAUAAUGUGAUCUGAAACCGCUCUCAUAUGAUUACAGUGAAUCAGGGACAGCAUCAGCACAAUGUAUCAGUGGAGUGUUUUCACUCUUGAUUGGCAGCUGUGUUGGUCAAUACGAGCCUAGCGGGAAACAAUUGAUUCAAGACCUCUACCGGAAUAGGUCGAGAAACCAAAUUCGGCUUUUUCAUUCACUGGGGAGUGUUUUCAGUUCCCAGCUAUGGCAGUGAAUGGUUCUGUUCCUCAGAUUUUACAUUACGGGGCUCGAAGUACUCGUGGACGUGGAACGCAGCUUUAUAACCAGAGAUUGCUAUAACCCCGGACACCUGCUGAAACACAAGUGAGAGAACUGCAUGACCACUGACCAGAAGUCAUGGGGCUACAGAAGAGAUGCCAAACUCAGAGAUUACCUCACUAUUGAACAGCUGAUAGCAGCAUUUUACAACAGCAGCGCAUGGAGAGUUCAGAAUGACACUGUCACUCCUGGAGUCCGGUCAGUUACAUUAUAAACUCACUUUCAUGAACUGUUACAUACUGAGCAAAGGUCUGUUUGCCAAAGCUUUGUGUUUCAUUUCAUGCUUUAUCUUUUUCACUGUUAUUUGCUUUUAAAUGUAAGUGUGGUUUUGUUUUGUCAUAACAGGUAUGCGUGGAAUCAGAAGAACGUAAUCUAUGCUAUUUUCCGCCUGCUGAUGGCUAUAUUGUUCUGAGCAACCCAGUUGCAUCAUCAUCCAAGAUGCAGGUGGUGCUGCUUGGAUAUCGGUCCCUCUCAUGGGAGUCCAUGAGACCCACUGGUCUAAAGGUUCAUCUGCCCCAGCUGGCCCCCGGUCAGAUGCCCUGCUCCUGGGCUUGGACUCUGCAGCUGACUGGUGCGGUGCAGCCAGAGGAUGGCGCCACAGUUAGCUGUUGCCUUAGGAAUAAUGAAGCACAUGACUGAAGGCACUAUGGGGUUUUUAUCCACACAUUUUACAUUUAAAGACUCCUUGUGGUAAAAAUCAAAUUUUUUACUUUGUUUACAUGUCUGUCUGGUGUUUUUCAUAUGCUUAAGGACAAAUCAUAUGCAAAUUCAUCAGUCAACAACAUUACUAAGCAUUUUCUCCUUGGUGUACCAAAGACAGUCCAAAGCGCAGUUUGAGGCCGCCAUUGUUUCCUUCCGUCACAAACAUGUAACCAAUCACCUCAUUUUAACAAGAAAAGGAGUAGAUGUGAUGUAAAUAAGAGAUCAAGUGUGCAUUAUAGAGCUUCAUUGAUUAUAACUGAAUUUUGUGAGAUUGCGAUGAACUGAUGAGUGACAGCUUUUUAGUAAUUAUAAUGCUCUUUGCGCGCUUGACAUCUACAUUACAUUUACAUUUAUUAAUUUAGCAGACACUUUUAUCCAAAUCGACUUACAAUUAAGGAAUACAACAAUUGAUUCAUUAUAAAGAGGCAAAUAAGCAAAGGAAGUGCUUGUAAUAUGAAAUUUUUGGGUGUAUAUGGAGAAGAGGAGGGGUCCAAGAACUGACCCCUGUGGAACCCCAGUGACCAGUUGAUGUUCUUUGGAUACCUCCCGUCCCCAGGCCACCCUGAGAGACCUACCUGUGAGAUAGGAUUCAAACCAGCUUAGUAAAAUCCCAUUGAUGAGAGGGAGGACAGGAGGAUCUUAUGAUUCACAGUAUCAAAGGUGGCAGAUAAAUCCAGCAGAAUGAAAACUGAUGAUUUGCAAUAAGCCUUCCGCAAGGUUUCAGUGACUGACAGUAAUGCAGUGUCAGUUGAAUGGCCACUUCUGAAACCUGAUUGGUUAAGGUCCAGUUGGUUGUUCUGUGAAAGAAGUAAUGUUACCUGGUUGAAAGUUACUCAUUCAAGUGUUUUAGCUAUGAAUGGAAGCAAAGAGACAAGUCUGUAGCUAUCUACAAGUGAAGUGUUUAAUGUAGGUUUUUUAAGCAGUGGGGUUAUCAAGCCUGCUUGAAUGCGGUGGGGAAAAAGAGAUGUGUUGAUGAUAUGUGUAAGUGCUGGUAGGAGAAAUUGCUUGGAGAAGGUGUGAGGAGAUAGGGUCUAAAGGGCAUGUUGUAGGAUGGCUGGAGUGGAGAAAUUUAGAUACUUCUGUCUCAGUGAGGAGACAGAAAGAGGAGAGGGGAGUUUUAGCAGUGGAUGUGGUUUGUAUGAGUUCCUGUGUCUUUGGAGCUGAGAACUGACUGCUGAUGGUUAUAAUUUUGUUGGUGAUGAUGGAGAAAAAUCAUCAGCUGAGGUUUUGGAUGCUUUGAUCAGAUUACAUGGAGCAGGUCCGAGCUGCUAUGAUUGAGUGACUGAGGCGGAGACUUAUUUGCAUAUUAUUUGUUCCAUGAAUGCAAAAUGAGGUAAGGGUGUAGUGUUCCAUUCAAGCCUCUUUAAGACAGGAAAUUAUUUUUAUAGCAAAAAGCAUUUAAAUUUGUCAUUUUGAUUAUCAGAUAUGAGUUUUAAGGAAUUUCAUUAGCGACUG